rnacentral:rRNA from 1 species
CGUGCAGGCGGGUUGGUAAGUCAGAUGUGAAAGCCCUGGGCUCAACCCAGGAAGUGCAUUUGAAACUGCCAUCCUUGAGUAUGGGAGAGGAGAGUGGAAUUCCCAAUGUAGAGGUGAAAUUCGUAGAUAUUGGGAGGAACACCCGUGGCGAAGGCGACUCUCUGGACCAAUACUGACGCUGAGACGCGAAAGCGUGGGAGCAAACA